UUGGAGAGGCUGCUAGGGAGGGAACUUGGGGGGACCUUUUGCAUGCAAGCAGGCACGUCCUCUUCUUCCCAAAGUGGCCCCAUUAUCCCCUAAGGAGAAUAUCUUACACCUGUAGUCUCCCAUCCAAAUGCAAACCAGGGCAGACCUUGCUUAGCAAAGGGGGACCGUUCAUGCCCGCUAACACAAGACCAGCUCUCCUCCCAUCAAGACUCUCCUGGUCCUGAUGGGGGUACCGCAGUUUGGGAACCCCCUGACCUAAAUCAAUAGCUUUCCCGAUUCGGGCAAGGAAGGCUUCGCUGAUUGCCACACUCAGGAUGGCCGCCGGCGCUGGUUUGGCGUGCCCAAGAUGGCCGCCGCCGCUGUUGGUUUGCCACACCCAAUGUGGCUGCUACGGCAGGCGGGAGGGCGGAGCGUGCCCUGACAGCUGGCGGUCGCCUUGGCAACCACACAGAGGCCUCGACCGGACCGACCAAGCCGGAAGUAGUAACUGUACCGGGAUCCGGAGCUGGAGGAAGGGCGGCCAGCCGCCGGCCAACAGGAGCCCCGCUGAUACCUGCGCUGCUUGAUGUAAAUGCCUUUGUCAGGAGUGACCGUGAACAUCCAGGAUUGGAGCUUUUACUCCCAUGCAAGUGCUCUUGAGGAAGGACGUGCCGAAUGAUGUUUGAAGCAGGGAGGACCGCAAAACCAGUGCCAAAGAUCCAUGUCACCCAGGUCUCCUGCUGAAAAGGUUUUCUGAAAAUUGCAAGGAUCCCCAAAGUUGUUCACCGAAAUUUGGCUCCAGUCCUGACCUCCUGGCUUGACCCCCUGGGCUGUUUCUGGCUCCCUCCGUCUCAGCUUUGGACUUGCAUCGGAGACAUUCUACAUGCUGGGCCACUAAAAUCAUCACAUUAGGGAAGUGUUGUGUUGAGUGCUCUUGCUGCAUAGUGGAGAGGUGUUCCGUGAUGCCAGCAGCCUGAUGCGAAGUGUGCUGCCGUGGCUGGCAGGCUCAGCAGGUGAUCCCUGCAGGAGAGACACUCUUCCGGACACGAGAUGGAGCAGAGGCACAGCAGACCCCCUUGCCUGAGGUGCUACAGGCUACAGAGUGCCAAGGUUCUGCAGAGUGAGAGGCAUCUGGCACCCUCUGGGAGUAGGGACUGAACUGGCCAACUUUGUAUAUAUGCCCAGAACUGCAUAUUAACCUAUCGAUGUCCUCUCCCUUGCAGCUAAAAAGAAAUAGGAGGGGGAGGGUCUUCUUGGCGGUGGCACCCUCUUAAUGAGGCUAACCAGGCACCAUCGUAUCUUUUGGCAUAGCAACUGGAGGUCCUUAUUCACCCAUGUGUUUCAGAAUUGUGUUUGUGUUUUUGGUUGUACUGUUCUGUGUUUGCUGUGCUCUAUUGUCAGCUGCCCAGAGACCAAUUAUAAGGCAGCCAAUAAAACAUUUGUUAAAAUAAAA